CUCUCCCGCUCCUUUUUUUCUCUUUUGCUAUGUAUUAUGGCUAUUUCCAUAUCUUUUUUUUAUGUAAUGAGCCUAUCCUCUCUUUUCUGUUUGUAUUUCUAUAUACCCAAACUUAUAUAAGACUAGAUGAAUAUUAAGAUAAGAGGAUUCUUCCAACUAGAUAAAAAUCUAUCAUGGUCAGCAAAGUUGUUUCUUUAUUUGUGUUUGCUCUGUUAGUUAAUAAUUUCAAUUUCAUUAAGAAAAACAAACUAAAUAAAUGGAAAAUCUAAAUUGAUACAAUUCCUUUUAUUUUUUCUUCAAAUCCAAAAAAUUUCUCUUUUAUACAUAGGUCGUCGAUUCGGCAUUGGAAAAAGGGCUGGAUGCCCUUCUAGUAAAUAGUUCAAACUAUUUUAUCGAUAUGAGUGUUCUAUAUCAGAUAAAUUCCACACUAGCUAUUUCCCGUUUAAAGCAUUUCGAGACUAAUGUAGUUGUAGAAAGAGUACCCCCUUUUGCCCGGACUUCAAGCAGUUUAGCUUUAACCGUGUUAAUGGUCUCACAUUAUUGGUCUAUAGAGAAUCAAAGUAAAUUUACCAAUGAGUCGCGAAAUGCUAUGGUUCUUCCAUAUGAUUUCUGAAGUUAUUCAGAAGUAAUUCGUCGAGAUCGUGCACCUUUUCUUAUUUAUCCAAAAAAAUACUAAAAAAUAUUCUAAAGUGCAGCCGGAUAGAUCCAAUCUAUUCUUGAAAUAGACAACUCGCACACACUCCCUUUCCAAAAAAAAUCAAUACACCAACCACUACAGUUAGAUUUAUUAGAUUUGUUGCUAAAAUAUCGGUAUUAAGCCCGAAACUCCCAGCGAAUGGCCUGUGAGCUAAAAAAACGAAAGAAUAGGUUACAUUUUUCAUAUGCUCUCCUCUUAUAGAUAGGACGAACAAAGAAGAAAGUUUUUCGAUCACUUACUUCGCUCGCCCUUUUUUGAUCGGUUUUUUUAAUGCAAUCUUUUUUUAAUGCAAAUAGAUUUAAUCUAAUAAUUUCUUUUAGAUUAAGUCUUAGGUCUUGUUUGACCUGUAAAAAAUCUCCUUUGUUGAAAUGUUCCCAAAAUUCCUAAAAUAAAAGAAAAAGAGUUUCCACUGUCCUAAACUAAGAAUGGGAAGGAAGAGGACGAGCGUAUCCUCUAAAUUGAUCAUGCUCAAAUCAGCCCUUCCUGGGGUUCCUGGGGUAUUGUCUGUCCCGAUAAAUACAAAAUUCCCGGAAUAAUAUAAUAAAUAGGAGUAAAGUAUUGAUAUACUUGGAAUUACAGAAGCAAAUCCCAAUGUACGAAAAAAAAGAAAAAAGUAUCUAAUCUAAAGGACUCUUUUUCUUUUUUAGGAUUAAACAAAAGGGUUCGCAAAUAAAAGCGCUAGUGCCACAACCAGUCCAUAAAUUGUUAAAGCUUCCAUAAAAGCUAGACUAAGCAAUAAAGUACCUCGUAUUUUACCUUCUGCUUCUGGCUGUCUCGCAAUACCUUCUACAGCUUGUCCUGCAGCAGUACCUUGACCAACUCCGGGCCCAAUAGAAGCAAGCCCUACGGCCAAUCCAGCAGCAAUAACGGAAGCAGCAGCAAUUAGUGGAUUCAUGGUGAGUUCCUCGUGUCAAAAAAAAAAAGAAAUGGUUAAGGAUACAAUCAACCAAGAAAUUAUUACUUCUAACUUCUAAGCUCUAUUGGGUAAAAGUAACUAAUAAGUACAAAUAAAUGAUAAUUGAAAUCGUCCGAAUUACUUCGAGAUCUCGUUUUUAGUUUCUAAUCAUUAGAGGUUUGUGUAAAUCCAUAUGAUUCUCAUUAUUCUAUUUCUCUUUCUUUUCAACCAAUCACUCUUUCAUUCCAUCCUUUUUUUUUACUCUUUGAUAUCCUUGAGUUCCCAUUUUUUCCCCUUCAUCUAACAUAAUAAAAGACGAAAUAUAGGAAGAACCCCUAUUGAAAUCGAACUAAUUCAAAUCCAAUAGGAAUCAAAUCAAGAUAUACAAUUGAUAACAAUAUGCUGCAUAGAAUUAGAAUUAGAUAUGGAAUCCAGUUCUAUAUAGAAGGGAAUUCUACAUAUCGGAUUAGAUAAUGAAUCUAACUUAGGAAUAAAA
rnacentral:lncRNA from 1 species